CUCAUUCUUAUUUCAUCUCUUUCGUUCUCUCUCUAACACCACCACAAGCCCUACUUCUCCUUAAUCUCCUGCUGCUGCUGCUGUAAUACCCAAACAACCAUGCAAUUUGGGUCCCAAUCAUCUUCAAUCUGCUUUAAUUUCGUUCAAUCGCAUUCUCCAAAUGCGACCUUUGCCCCCUAUUUCUCAAUUCAACAAAGCUUUAGGGCCUAUUACGAAAAUGGGUCAUUACGACAUCUCUCUUUCUCUUAUUCUCAACAAGCUGCUACAGUUCCAAGGCAUUCAGGUCGAUCUCUGCACCUUCAACAUUGCUAUUAACUGUUAUUGCCGCCUUAAUCAAGUCUAUUUUGGCUUCUCCCUGUUAGGUUCCCUCUUCAAAUGUGGUUAUACACAAAAUGCAACAACCUUCACAACUGUGAGUAAUGGACAUAUUUUGGAAGAUAAAACCCCUGAAGCUAUAGAGUUAUUUAAGAAAUUAAUCAGAAUGAGAGAAAUUCAGCCCGAUGUCGUUAUGUAUAGAACCAUUGUUAAUGGCCUCUACAGAACGGGGAACACUAGCAGGGCUGUUAGUUUGCUUAGGAUUAUGGAAGAGGGAAGAUGUAAACCGAGCAUCGUAGUGCAUGACACAAUCAUUGACAGUCUUUGCAAGGAUAGAAUGGUGGACGAUGCUGUGAAACUCUUUACAGAAAUGGAUGAAAAGGGUAUUUUCCCGGAUGUUAGUCAGUUACAACUCUUUGAUUCGUGGCCUGUGUAAUUUUGGCCGAUGGGAUGAGGCUACAAAAAUGUUAAGGGAAAUGUUGGAUAUUGGGAUUGCUCCGAAUGUUCGUACAUUUAGUGUGUUCAUGGAUGCACUUACAAAGGAAGGGAAAGCAAAAGAGGCAGAGGGGGUACUUGAAGUCAUGAUACAAAGAGGUGUGGAUCCUGAUGUAGUCAUAUACAAUACUCUAAUGAAUGGAUAUUGUUUGCAAGGCCACAUGGAUAAAGCAAUCAGAGUGUUCAAUACCAUAGUGGAUGGGGGCCUCCAGAUGUUGUUAGCUAUAACAUUCUAAUCAACGGAUAUUGCAAGAAGAUGAAAAUAGAUGAGGCCAUGCAUCUCUUUCCAGAAAUGCCUCGGAGGGGGUUGAAACCUAACAUUGAAACCUUCAGUGUUAUCCUAUAGGGCUUGUUUCAAUUUGGUAGAUGUGGAGCUGCUCAGGAAUUUUUUAAUGAGAUGCAAACUGUAGGCAUAAUUCCAGAUUCUCAAACUUAUGGUAUCUUAUUGGAUAGAUUGUGCAAAAUUGGGCAUAUUUCUGAAGCAUUGUCAUUAUCCCACAUGAUGGAAAGCAACGGUUUAGAUCAUAGUGUUGUUAUGCACAGUAUUCUCAUUGAUGCAUUUUGCACAGAUAAAAAGCUUGAUACUGCAAGGGCCCUUUUUAGUAAGCUUUCUUCCAAAGGAUUACAACCUAAUGUUAAGACAUACACUAUUAUGAUACAAGGUCUUUGUGAUGAAGGCCUACUACAUGAAGCUAAAGAGUUGUUUGUUAAAAUGGAACAGAAUGGUUGUUUGCCAAAUGGUGUCACUUACAACACUAUUAUCCGAGGAUUUAUUGGACAACACAAGUGCUAUAAGGCAUUAAUACUCGCUGAGGAAAUGGUUUAAAGGAGUUUUUCAGCAGAUGCAUCCACUUUUCCCUUGAUUGUCGAUAUACUCUCAACUAAAGGACAAGAUCAUGCUCUCCAAGAAGUGAUAAAGAAGUUCAUGCACAAAGAUGGUCAUGGAAUGCAAGAGACUGAGUAAAUUUCUUAAGCUGUGAAGGUAAGGCUAGGUGAAACCAAUGUUUUUGGGUUGAUGUUGAUAAAAGCUUUAUGGCAACGUCCUUCAACUACUGUGUCUUGUAAAGAAAUAGGAGAUCAAGGUUGGAUAUUCAACUAAUUGAUCAUCAAUCAGAGGGUGUGUGGAGGAAUCCUAUCCUUUUGAUCACAUAUCAUAUGAAGCAAGCUUUUAAGGGCCUGUGAAAUAUACUCGGCAACAAGCUCAACAUGCAGUUGAAGUCCUAGGCAAACCAAACUGAGUCCUUUUGCAUUUGCUUUGAUUCAAUAUGUUACUAUUUCCCUUAGCAUAAACAAGAUGUACUUGGUAUUUUUAAAUCUUUGUACACUGAAGCAUUACAUGUUGCUCUUUGAAUAUUGUUGUAGCAAAUUAUGAUCUCAAAUGCUUGUUGGAGAUU